rnacentral:tRNA from 1 species
GCCAGAGUGAUGAAAUUGGUAGACAUGGGAGAUUCAAAAUUUCCUGCCCGCAAGGGCGUGCCGGUUCAAGUCCGGCCUCUGGUACCA